rnacentral:rRNA from 1 species
UUGCCGUGUAAGUCUGCUGUGAAAUCCACGCGCUCAACGUGUGGGCGUGCAGCGGAUACUGCACGGCUUGGGGCCGGACGGCGUCGAGGCUAUUCCAAGGGUAGGAGUGAAAUCCUAAAAUCCUUGGAGGAGCACCUGUGGCGAAAGCGCUCGGCGAGUACGGACCCGACGGUGAGGGACGAAAGCUAGGGGAGCAAAGCGGAUUAGAUACCCGCGUAGUCCUAGCUGUAAACAAUGUCUGUUAGAUGUCGGGUAACCUCCGAGGUUGCCCGGUGCCGAAGUGAAAACGUUAAACAGACCGCCUGGGAA